GUCUCCCAUCUGCAUAUGUUUGUCGUGCUAGCCAUACCUUGCUUCUGGACACUGUUUUAAGUGUGUCUCUAGUCUGAUCAGGCAAGUGCCUCCAAACAUCAAGCAAGACAGGUACAUGUUCUCUUACAAGCGGCCCAAGGAAGGAUGAAAUUGUCACUGAUUCAUCACCUAUAUGUUCACCAAUAGAUGGGAAGGAGGCAAAGUAUCAUCUACAUCACACGGCUGAGAGAUAUCCUCUUCUCCAUCUUUCUCUACAAUUAGCUCUUCAUUGCUAGCCAUUUUUUCAUUGGUACUAAGUUGAACAAGGCAUUAACAAGUUCCUCCUCGUUAGCCAAGUCAGAACCAAGUACAUCAGUAACAUUCUCAUGCUCUGGAAUCUCAACCUGAUUUUUCUUGUCUCUUAUAUGUUUCUUCAAUCCUACUUCAGAACCCAGGUCAAUGCCUAGUUGACGUUUCUUGCGACAAGGUUUGGUCCUCACUUUUAGUUGACAUGUUGGAUCACCUCAAACACAACCAAGUGUUA